CUUAGGUGCUGCACCCAAAUCCCACAGCUCAAAUUGCCGGAUGAAGAGAGCUCACUAAUGGUUUAAGCACAGGGAUCCUGGAGCCCGGGCCCAUCUGGACGAGGGGGGGGCGGGUCAGUGGGAGCGGCAGAGAAGCAGAUGCACCCUUGUGAAGGCGGCCACCACGGCUCUGCGACGUUGGAAGUCUGUGCCUGGACCUCCACGGGCCCACGGACCACAACUGGGCCUCUCCCCGCCAGUCCCCCUCCGGCCCCCCACGCAUUCAGCAGAGCUCCUUGCAGCCUGUGUGUGUGUGUGUGCACAUGUGCACACGCGUGGGUAAGUGUGCAGUUACAUAAAAGGCUCACACCACAGGCCCGUGUAUCACGCUCUUCUUCCAUGAAACACACUAUCAUCCAAGUCACCAAACAACUGGAAAACACCGACUGCAUCUAACACGUCACAUGGGCUGCCUGCCUGGUCUCUUCCUGCCACUACCACUCAGGAUGCCGUGAACAGCUCCGUGCCCGGCCCACCACGGACCUCCUGUCGUUUCCUUCAGAAGCAGCCCUCGGGCUAUCCCUGGCGCCCCAGGAAGGAUGGAUGUGGCAUCAGAGGACCCGGUGGAACCCCCUCCAGCCUGCACCCGCCUCUCCUUCCACCCGUCCACGCCUCCUCAUGGCUCCCUUGGCUUCGCUGGUGACCCGGAACACGACACAACCUAAAUGUCCAAUUACAUGGGAGGACCCAGCCAGCUACGGACAUGUGGAAACAGGACACCCUCCAGCCACAAGAAAGAGUGAGGCUCCCUACACGUGAGUGUGGAAUAUGGGCUGACAGAUCCACAAUUAUUCAGUGAAAACCACACAGUCCUUCAGCUGGCCUACCAGGACGGCCUUUCGAGGAUGAGGGCAGACCACGGUCUCUCGGAAUGCA